rnacentral:lncRNA from 1 species
CCUCUCGGCCUGACGCGCGGGAGCGGGAGCCGCUGGCCUCUGCUUUAGAGCGCUUUUGCUUUCCGAAUACAGCCUUCAUAAGGGCAAGAGCUUCCACCCAUUUUGUUCACUGCUGCGGUCCUGAUGCCUGGGACAGCCCUGCUGAGAGAUGAGGAAAGGAUCCCGUCCUGCAAACCAUUUCCAGCUUGGCCAGUGCAUGAUCCUGCAGCCCCCAUGGGGCAUCUAUUCCCUUUCUCCUGUCAGCAGGCCCAGCUCUUCCUGCCAUGUGCUGUUUGCACUGGACUCUAGUUACUGGUCUGGUGGGAGUGGGAGUUGGGGCAGGUCCUUCCGGGGCCUGUGUUGUUUGGCGAUGCCUCACUUUCAAACAAAGGAUGAGAACAUCCUCACAAAAGGACAGGGCCACCUCUACGGGCCUUCAGGAUGCCCAACGGGCUUUCAAGGUUUCGAGAGCAUUAACUCAGAUGUCCUAUCCAAUGGUCAGGUCUCACGUGCCCACUGAAGCCCCUGAUGUGGUCACAGAGGACUUGCCGGGGCCGAAGACACAGACUUGUGUGGAGAGCUGCUUUCUCACAGUCGUGUCCAGGCGUCCGCCUCUGCUUUUCUCUCCUCCACCUGCACCUGUAGGAGAUGAGUGUUUAGAUGCCACCAGCCUGGCUUUCUACCUUUCACACUUUCUUUCACUCAGGGAUUCCUAACCCGAGCCUAAGGCAUCAAGGACUCAGGAGGAGUCAUCAGAUCCCAUUCUCAUGAGUGGAACCUUCCCUGAAUCUCUCAGUAGCCUGGGUGUCCCCUGGACCAGUGCUUUCUUUCCCACUUGGAUCCCAUCCCAGUUCAUCACCAGCAUCACCCAUGAUGUGGCUCCUCCAACCAGCCAGGGACUGGCAGGGCCUCACCUGCCACCAGGAACGGGGCUGGGUUUCUAGCUGGCAGGCUGAUGCUGGGCCCCACAAUCCCACAACUGCCCGAGGGAGUGGCCACAAUUCCGUUUUAGAGCCUGUUUCCUCAGAUCACUCCUGGCACCUGACCUCUGAGAGCUGGUGCUCUGGGAAGCAGAUGUGGAGAAGACAGUUUGUGUGAAAUGAGUGUCCUGAGAAGUGACCCUGGUGUCUUCGCCUGUAAAGGAAGAGCAGACAUAACCCGAGCAGAAGCUGAUUGCGGUGGUGGCUGCAACAAGGCCUCAGUCCAUCCCACUGGGGUCUGAGUGGGAGGGCCUUGCAGACUCGUCCUGCCACGAGGGAGGCCCUGGCCCUCUCUCCUCCCUUCAUGGACCAGUCAUGGGGUGCUGUGAACUUGGGCAGGCGGCUCCCUUCACCCAGGCCAGUUCCCGGCCAGGGGCUCAGCAGAGAGCCUGGAGCCACCAACGUUCCCAGCAGCUGAGGGAUGCUGAGGGGGACCUGGGCACCACUGCGGCCACCGCUGUCCCCUUUAAAUACCUCUUGACCUGUCUGCCCCUUCUUGAGCAUUGCCUCUCCCCAGGCUCCAUUCUCAGGCCUUUUCUUCGUUGACUCCCAUUUCUUUGGGGGGAGCAGGGAGCAUGACCCGUGCUCCCCGGCCUUAACCAGCCCUGAGCCUGGGCCCCAGGGUUUCCUGUCUCUCCAGCAUCACCAGUUUACGCUUCUCUUUGCCCUGCCCCUUGGGACGGCCCACCUCUUGCAUCCUUUGAUCCACCCCACCCCCCCACUUCUCCUACACGCGGCCCUCACUGCCUCCCUCCCGGGCUUGCUGUCCACUCAGGCCCCCGGCUCCCGGCAUGGGCGUCACAGCCCUUCGGGAGUGGAAAGGGUCACUUUACAUGCAUGUUUCCUCCCUCCUGUCUCUGUUUCCAGUGUUGCUCUCUCCUGCAUCCCCCAAAGCCAGUCCCUCCGCCUCGCCACUGCUGCUGGGGACACUUCCUCAAUCACAGAUUGUUAUUCACAUAGGAACAGUUGCUGGACGCUUGCCACGGCCUGCCCACGUCACAUUCUGGGCCAGUCAUGGUGAGCGACGCAGAAAAAGUCUCUGCUUGGAGUUCCCGUUGUGGCUCAGAGGGUUAUGAACUUGACCAGUACCCACAAAGAUCCUGGCCUCACUCAGUGGGUUAGGGAUCUCAGCUUGCCGUUGCUGUGGUGCAGGCCGGCAGCUGCAGCUCCAAUUCAACCUCCAACCUGGGAACUUCCAUAUGCUGCGGGUGCAGACCUAAAAAGAAAAA